CGUAACAAGGUCUCCGUUGGUGAACCAGCGGANGNAUCAUUACCGAGUUUACAACUCCCAAACCCCUGUGAACAUACCAAUUGUUGCCUCGGCGGAUCAGCCCGCUCCCGGUAAAACGGGACGGCCCGCCAGAGGACCCCUAAACUCUGUUUCUAUAUGUAACUUCUGAGUAAAACCAUAAAUAAAUCAAAACUUUCAACAACGGAUCUCUUGGUUCUGGCAUCGAUGAAGAACGCAGCAAAAUGCGAUAAGUAAUGUGAAUUGCAGAAUUCAGUGAAUCAUCGAAUCUUUGAACGCACAUUGCGCCCGCCAGUAUUCUGGCGGGCAUGCCUGCUCGAGCGUCAUUUCAACCCUCAAGCCCAGCUUGGUGUUGGGACUCGCGAGUCAAAUCGCGUUCCCCAAAUUGAUUGGCGGUCACGUCGAGCUUCCAUAGCGUAGUAGUAAAACCCUCGUUACUGGUAAUCGUCGCGGCCACGCCGUUAAACCCCAACUUCUGAAUGUUGACCUCGGAUCAGGUAGGAAUACCCGCUGAACUUAAGCAUAUCA
rnacentral:rRNA from 1 species